GCUGAGGAUAGGCCCAGGUGAGCAGCAGUGUGGGUGGCGCGGCUCACCCUCUGCUCAUCAGUCUUGCCUACCCAUGACUGUGGCUUCAAAUGCUCACAUACAAGCCAGCAUGUGAACUCAUUCAGACAAUCAAUGGGAGGGUCAGUAAAAUGCAUGGCAACUGCUAUUUUAUAGAGGAAAUGACUGGGGCUUAAAGACUGUAGGUGGCUUAUUCAAACACAGACUCAACCCAAACAUGCUGUCACAGGCCCAUUCCUGGGAGCAGCACCUGAGGGUCCGUCCAGGACAUCUGAGGACUGUUGCUUAAAGAAAGGAAGAUGAAGACAUCUCGGAGUCUUGCUUGAGAAUGGAGAUGGGAGAGCAGAAGCCUUACCUGGGACAGACAGACAGCACAGAACCAAUCUCCUUCUGGAACAGCCUCCAUCUUGGGCCGAUGACAGUAAAUGUGGCAGCCUCGGUCACACCCAUCACACAGCAGGAGAAACUCAUCAUUAUCGCCCUUCCGGCAGACCAGGCAGGUCUGGACCAUCGUGAAAAGGCAGAGACGUAUGUCUACAUCACUAUGGCCACAGUCUACAGAUGAAGAAACUGAAGCCUAUAGCUGGUGUGUGACAGCAGAAGUAGGUGAGUAGCUUGACUCUUUAGUCUACCACGCCACAGAGUCAAAAGCCCACGAGGACUAGGCAGAAGGAAGUGCUCACUUUUGUCUGGACUUCACCCCAAACUUCCACAGUUGCACCUACCUGUGCUCCCUUCCGAUCCUUCCACAAAGAUACCAGCAAGAUACGGUAAUACCCAGUAAUGGCGUCUAUAGCGGUCUUGACCCAAGGACACUGCCCGAAGCAUCUGGGAUGAGUGAAGCAGCUUUUUUCUAAAGAAGAGCUGACGCUGGGUAGGAAAUGGAAAAGGAAUAGAAACCAUUUCCAUCAUGGCAUGAUGGACUUCAGUACCCAUGAGAGAACUGAAGCCUAUCAACCUCCCUACAAAACUGAUAUAAUUUGAACAAGGGCUUCAGCUCUUGUGCAACCCACAUUUCCCGACUUUUAUGAGAUUAAAAACAUGGUACCUUACUGAGUUUUUCUAUAUGGCGCUCUAGCUCUGGAAUGCUAGAUGCUGCAACAUCAAUCUGCACAGAAACAAGCGGACAUUGAGAAAGGAGAGCUACCAGAUCCAAAAAAAAGAUGAAAACUUUCUAAUUGACUUUGGUCUGUACCUCUCCUUCUUUUCGACCCCUGCGGCCAUGGACAGCUGUUGUAUUUUCUUCCUCUUCCUCCUCUUCUAUGCCACUGGUUUCCUCCAUGAUCCGAGAACUGCGCCUCCGUCCUAGGCCGUCUUCUGCCCCUUCCAUCAUAACCUCAGGCCGCCCAGUUCGCUUGGCCAGAGCAGUUUUCAGUCUUAAGAAAUAGAAAUUAGGCUAAGACGCUGGUGAAGAAUAUAAUACCAAAAAAGAAACACUUGAAAUUUACAUUUUCCAGAGCCCUGGCUAUGCCUCACCCUCCCUCUGGGCUCUACUCUGUCCUGUCCCUACCUCCGGAGUCGGCCUUCAACAAUCCACUUGUUCUUCCUGCAGCUAGACACACUUUCCAGAGUCUUGUCAAUCUCACUGCAGGGGAACGAACAUGGGGGAAGUUUUGAGGGAAAAGUGGCAGCAAAAAGAAAAGAAAGAUUAAGUGUUACAGAGCUGUAGGGAUGGAUCUCAGUCUAGUUCAAACAGGAUGGAUGACAAAGGAAGGCUUACAAUGAGUCUAUGCCCAAUCACUCCAGCAUCCUCAGAGAAGAGCAACACCCACACCACCCAGGGGCUUCUGGAGAGCUAAGCCCCUCCCCUACACAGGCACAGGAUUGACCAUUCCCACCCAAGCCCUCACUUGAUGAUAAUGGUGGAGCUGUUAAGCUCAUGCACAAGGAAGGCUAGAAUAGCAGCCUUCUGUUGAGGUGGCUGGGCCUGAAAAGGCUGGGUACGCAGACUGUCACAGAAGGAUGGCUCCACUCUAUAUGCCAUGAGGAAGCAGCGCAGUAUCUCAGACACAUUAUCUCUGGUCAAUGGGAUCUCUGACAUCUUCUCCCCCAAUAUCUUCAGGGACUGUUUGGAAGGAAGCACAAUGGAAAUGAGAAGGAACUAGGAACAACUCAAGUUGGGGGAGCCUGGGAGAGUUCCAGGGUUAAGGUAAAACUGUAAGAGGAAAGGAUGAGGUCAGCAAGACGGCUCAGAUGAUCAUGGAAUUUGCCCCUGAGUCUGAUACAAAUACCUUUAAUUCCCAGACCCACUUGAUGGAAGAACAACUGAUUCCCCACAACACAUACAUACAUGCAAAUACAUACAAUAAACAAACAUAAUUUUAAACACAGAUCUGGUUCUCAACACCCAUAAGGCCGUUCUCAACUAUCCACAAUCCAGUUAUGGGGAUCCAGCCUUGUCUUCUGGCCUGCAGGGGCACCAGGUACACACACGACACACAUGCGUACAUGCAGGCAAACACUCGUCUACAUAAAACAAAACUAAAUCUUAACAAAAAAAAAUUUUGAACCCUUCCUUCUUUUCUGACAGGGUCUCAUUACGUAGCCUGGGCUGGCCUGGAACUUGCUAUACGGAACAGGCUCAAAUAGGCCCACCUGCCUUUACCUCCCAGAGACCAAAAGUGUACACCACCAAAGCCAGCUCUAAGAAAUGUUUGUGGAAAAAGGAGAAAAAGAAUGAAAGUUGCAGGGACAUGGGCUGAAGAGACGGGUCAGCAGUUAGGAGCAGUGAUUGCUUUUCCAUAGGACCUGGGUUGAGUUGCCAACAUCCGUAAGACAGCUCACAACUGUCUGUGAGUCUUGAUUUCAGGUGAUCCAACACCAUUUUUUGGUCAGUGUAGUACCAGGCAUACGUGUGGUACACAAACAGACAAGCAAAACAUGUCUACACAUAAAUAGAAUUUAAAAAUUAAGGGAAAAAGUUACUAGAAAAAGGUGAAAGGCCGGGUGUGGUGGCGCACACCUUUAGUCCCAGCACUGGGGAGGCAGAGGCAGGCGGAUUUCUGAGUUCGAGGCCAGCCUGGUCUACAAAGUGAGUUCCAGGACAGCCAGGGCUAUACAGAAAAACCCUGUCUCGAAAAAAAAAAAAAAAAAAGAAAAAGGUGAAAGACUACAAAGAGAAACUGCAAAGUAAGAAAAGAGAAAAUGAACAAAUGAAGCCUUGCAAAGAAAAAGGCAUAUAAAGGCUAGAAACAGGAAGCAACUACGUUUCCCUUACUUCUGUGGUUGCUUUAGGGGAAGCUUUUACGUGUUCUCAAGGAGAGAGCAAAACUGUAACCCAGGCCCAGGAACACCUACCUGACAGUAGGGGGGCAGACCAGGAUCAUGGAGUGCAGCCUUCAGCAGUCGCACCAGCAGGUCCUGCACUUUGUCCAAGCUGUCACCUUGACAUAAGAGUCCCUCCUGCAGGACUCCUAGACUAGGAACAUCUUUGGUAAGGUCAAAGCCUAGCACUUUGCCAAAACUGUGAAGGAACUCCACGAUGGUCAAGCAAUCUGAGAAAGCCCUACUGGACAGUGUCAAACCAGGGAUGCGUGUGAAGUCAGGCAGGGGCUGGGGAGAGAAAAGCGCAUGGGUAUCUUGUUAGACUCACAAGAGGCACUGUCUAGAAUUCACAAGUCCUUCUGGUAACACGAGAAAUGUCCUCAGCACUGGCCCUUCCAUGACCCUUAAUACCUGGUGGUCAGACAGACACAUAUCCUCUGUGGGCUUCUUCAUCUCCUCCAGGAUAGCCUGCUGCCUCUGCUGCUCCUCUAGCCGCUUCUGUGUGGCAAGGGUCUUGUCUGCUCUACAGGAUGGCCUGGCUCUGGGCCCUUCCUUCCCCUUCGCUUUUACCUUUUCUUUCUUUUCUCGCUUUACCUUUUCCUUCAGCUUUUCCUGCUUUGUCUUCAUCUUCUCUUUCUCAGCCUGCCCACCCAGAGAGGAAGACACACGUCAGCGCGUGAGGACCCGUCCAGCCGCGCCUGGUCCUAGGACCUCACACUCGAGUCCAAGAUCUAACUGUCGCACUGACACAGUGCACUUGGAGAACCUCUGUGGUGCUUUACAAACAGACUUGAGAGCAGAACUCAGCUCUGUGGUUGAGUGCUUGUCUAGCAUGCAUAAUGUACCCUGGGAAAAUAAAAUUACACUUGGGACAUGUA